rnacentral:rRNA from 1 species
AUAACAUAUACUAAAUAACAUAUACUAAAUAUACUAAAUAUACUAAAUAACAUAUACUAAAUAACAUAUACUAAAUAUACUAAAUAACAUAUACUAAAUAACAUAUACUAAAUAACAUAUACUAAAUAUACUAAAUAACAUAUACUAAAUAACAUUUACUAUCUACUAAAUAUCAUAUAAUAUAUUAUUAUAUAUAAUAAAUAAAAAAUACGAAAAUGAAUAAUUCAUAUCAUAUAUUAAUAACAUAUAUGAAUUACUAAUAUCAUAUAUGAAUAGUAAUGAAAUUGCAAGAAUAAAAAUUGCAAUAAAUAUCAAAAUACUAAAAGAGGUUUUUCAUGAUUUAUCAAUUGUUUAUACUAGAUCGUUUAGUAGGUUUAUGGCUUAAAAUACUAAAUUCAGCCAUUGUGAUGGGACUGUAUUAUGGAUUUCUGACUACAUUCUCCAUAGGGCCAUCUUAUCUCUUCCUUAUUCGAGCCCGGGUUAUGGACAAAGGGACCGAGACGGAAAUAGCAGCAACAACCGGGUUUAUUACGGGACAGCUUAUGAUGUUCAUAUCGAUCUAUUAUGCGCCUUUGCAUUUGGCUUUGAUUAGACCUCAUACAAUCACUGUCCUAACUCUACCGUAUCUUUUCUUUAAUUUCGUAUACAAAAACAACAAACACUAUUAUUCGGCGGAUUCUCACUUUUAUUUGGAUUUGGAUUACGGAUACAAGAAUCCAAAUUCAAUACGUAAAUUUCGUAUUUACAAAGUAUUCUUUAACAAUCUUUUUUUUCAGUUAUCAAACCCCUUGCUUUUCCCAAGUUCAAUCUUACUAAGAUUAAUGAACAUUUAUCUCUUUCGAUCCAACAAUAAAUUGUUAUUCUUAACAAGUAGUUUUCUUGGUUGGUUAAUUGGUCAUAUCUUUUUGAUGAAAUGUAUUGGAUUGAUAUUAUUAGUUUGGUCAAAGCAAAAAAAUUCGAUCAAAUCUAAGUUAACUAUGCGAUUUGAUAAGUACAUUCUAUUACAAUUGCGAAAUUAUGUGGGUCAAAUAUUUGUUGUUUUUUCAUUUGUUAUCGUUGU